UUAAACAGGUUGAAACUUCACUGAAACAUUGAGUUGACUCCAUGACUCAAAAACAUCAACUCCUAAAUUCUGUGAUGAACAAUAACAUGGAUCAGCUUCAAAAUGUGUGACCUUUUCCUUCUGGAAGGAAAAGUAGUAUCUUUAUUCUGUGAAGUAACAUAAGCUGACUCUGGAAAGAAAAUCUCUGUGUCAUCUGAACAUCUUCAGGCUAUAUUACAGAGAGAAGGCAGAAAAAGUCAUUAAAUCUCUUUGGCCUGGAAAAGAGACAACUGACUGGAAACAAAAUUAUGAAAGAGGCUGGAAUAAAAUGCUGAUUCAUCAUGAUGAUGGACAAGACACACCGAGAACUCUGACAGGAGCCUGUUCUGGCAGAAGGGUUCUCAGCAGGGAAAUAUGGACAUAUUGGAAAAGGAAAGUCUGCUCCAGCUGGUCACGAUCCAGAUUUAUGUCAUUCCAGUCUAACAAGAAUCAUCCCUGGCUCCCUUGAGGCAGUGUCCAAUUAUAACUGGUCACUUCUGCAGCUGCAUGCAUAAUCUCUAAGUAAACAUAGAAUCAUUUAAUAUCUAUUCCUCAACAUUACAAAUAAAUAAAAUGUUCCACUUUUGCUCAGUAAAAU
rnacentral:lncRNA from 7 species